rnacentral:lncRNA from 1 species
GUGGUUAGAUGGUCACCAACAGUUAUUUUUUGUUUUCUCCUAUUCUUUUCUCUCUCCUAACAACUAAAGUACACCAUUAUCCUUUUUAUUUUUAGUUUGUUAAUUUCAAUCCUCAUUCUUUUCAUUUCUGAUUUUUUUUUUAGAAGUUUUUUUUUGUUUUUGCAAUUUAGUCCUUUAAUUACACUUACUAAUAUGUUUUAAUUUUAGUUUUAGUCAUCACUCUUUUAAUUUAUGAUUUUGUUCUUAUUACUUUUAUAGCUUCAUUCCUCGUUCUUUUAAUUUCUUCUUUCAUUUUUAUUUCUUUUAAAGAAGUUUUUUGUUUUUCAAUUUAGUCCUUCAAUUACAAUUUAUUAUUU